rnacentral:rRNA from 1 species
UAUAUCGGAACGUGCCCAGUCGUGGGGGAUAACGUAGCGAAAGUUACGCUAAUACCGCAUACGAUCUAAGGAUGAAAGCGGGGGAUCGCAAGACCUCGCGCGAUUGGAGCGGCCGAUAUCAGAUUAGGUAGUUGGUGAGGUAAAGGCUCACCAAGCCAACGAUCUGUAGCUGGUCCUGAGAGGACGACCAGCCACACUGGAACUGAGACACGGUCCAGACUCCUACGGGAGGCAGCAGUGGGGAAUUUUGGACAAUGGACGCAAGUCUGAUCCAGCCAUUCCGCGUGCAGGAUGAAGGCCCUCGGGUUGUAAACUGCUUUGUACGGAACGAAAAGGUUUGUCUUAAUACGAUGAGCUCAUGACGGUACCGUAAGAAUAAGCACCGGCUAACUACGUG